rnacentral:rRNA from 1 species
CAGCCGCCGCGGUAAUUCGGAGGGUGCGAGCGCUAAUCGGAAUUACUGGGCGUAAAGCGUACGCAGGCGGUUUGUUAAGCGAGAUGUGAAAGCCCCGGGCUCAACCUGGGAACUGCAUUUCGAACUGGCAAACUAGAGUGUGAUAGAGGGUGGUAGAAUUUCAGGUGUAGCGGUGAAAUGCGUAGAGAUCCGAAGGAAUACCGAUGGCGAAGGCAGCCACCUGGGUCAACACUGACGCUCAUGUACGAAAGCGUGGGGAGCAAACGGGAUUAGAUACCCCGGUAGUCCACGCCGUAAACGAUGUCUACUAGAAGCUCGGAGCCUCGGUUCUGUUUUUCAAAGCUAACGCAUUAAGUAGACCGCCUGGGGAGUACGGCCGCAAGGUUAAAACUCAAAUGAAUUGACGGGGGCCCGCACAAGCGGUGGAGCAUGUGGUUUAAUUCGAUGCAACGCGAAGAACCUUACCUGGUCUUGACAUAUCUAGAAUCCUGCAGAGAUGCGGGAGUGCCUUCGGGAAUUAGAAUACAGGUGCUGCAUGGCUGUCGUCAGCUCGUGUCGUGAGAUGUUGGGUUAAGUCCCGCAACGAGCGCAACCCUUGUCCUUAGUUACCAGCGGGUUAAGCCGGGAACUCUAAGGAUACUGCCAGUGACAAACUGGAGGAAGGCGGGGACGACGUCAAGUCAUCAUGGCCCUUACGACCAGGGCUACACACGUGCUACAAUGGUAGGUACAGAGGGCAGCUACACAGCUAUGUGAUGCGAAUCUCAAAAAGCCUAUCGUAGUCCAGAUUGGAGUCUGCAACUCGACUCCAUGAAGUAGGAAUCGCUAGUAAUCGCGGAUCAGAAUGCCGCGGUGAAUACGUUCCCGGGCCUUGCACACACCGCCCGU